AAAGAGAGAGAGUAAAGUUCAACCCUGUGGCUGUGUGAGCUGAGCUUGGAAAUCCCUAAUGUGCUCUGUCCAUUCCCCUCCAUCUCCGACUCUCCAAGGCUGCCCAGUCGCUUCAAUCUCCGACUCUCCUUCGAGCUCUCUAGCACACCGCUCGAGGUUUCCUUUUCUCUUCCUCUUCUCCAAAACCCUAGCAGUCGGCGGUUGCUUCCUCUGGCCUCUGUUGGACAGACAUUUAAGUCGAGAAAUUCUCUUGAACUCAAACCACAAGCAUCCAUGUUCUUCUCCACAAAUUGCUCAAUCUCCACCCCAUGUUUAGUAUCAGAUGCAGCAGAUUCUGGAGAUAUGGAAUCAUCCAUCAGAUUGAUGUUUACUGAUCCAACUCCGCUAGCUGAAUGAAAUUUGUCCACAUAAGAUCCAAGAAUCUUCCCGUUGCCUGAGCAGCCAUCGACUCUUCUAUUCUCGGAGUCAGUGGUACCAGAUGAAGAAUCCUGGACAAGACUAUGAGGUUUGCUUAUUUUCAUUUUAUUCAUACCAACAAACUGAUGAAAGUUGAUUAGGAGUGAAUCUGUGCUCAUCUGGUAUGAACUCCCCACUUCUCGAAUACCCCUAAUUAGCUGUCCGUCCUCAUUAAUUUGAGGGCUUCGCAUUGAAUUCACAAAGCCCAAGUUUGACCAAAUAUUGCUUGCCGCUGAAGGGAAAGCUGGGGCUCAUUGUGGUUUCUAUGGGAGAUUUCUACUCCGAAAAUUUUCCUGCUUGUCUGCAACUCUGAGCUAUGGUGGUCAGAUAAGAGAGAUACGGGAUCCAUUUCACCAUGUAAACUUUGACCAGAGAAGCUCCCAUCGUUAGUUGGUUGCACUGAAAGACGGAGAUUAGCCAACUCAAAACCAUCAGCAUGAGUUGAAAAAUAGAAAAACAAAAGCUUGCAGCAGAAAAAUGAAUCGUGAUAUGCAAAGAACCUAGAAGCAAAGAGACUGGCUCAAGCAAGAGAGCACAUAAAUGAUCUUGAUCCUAUCCUAACGAUGUAUCAUCCCCAAAGAUGAAAGGAAAUGAAAUUUAACAGUCUUGAGAGUGUUAAGCAACCCUCUCUCGUGGAAGCUUGCUUGCGAAGAUGCAGAAAAAUUCUUCCUGUACUCUAGUCUUGUUGCUUGAGAAAGAUUGCAGGGGCGCAGUUAGUGCCCUUCCUUCAGCAGGCUCCGCCCUAUCAACUCUAUUAAUCUCUUUUUUCAAAUGGAUAUUUAGGGAUCUCUCUUGAUCAA